rnacentral:rRNA from 1 species
CCCUUAGAUGUUCUGGGCUGCACGCGCGCUACACUGAUGCGAUCAACAAGUUUUUCCUAUGUCGAUAGACACGGGUAAUCUUUUGAACUCGCAUCGUGAUGGGGAUAGAUUAUUGUAAUCAUUAAUCUUCAACGAGGAAUUCCUAGUAGGUGCAAAUCAUCAGUUUGCAUCGAUUACGUCCCUGCCCUUUGUACACACCGCCCGUCGCUGCUACCGAUUGGUUGAUCUGGUGAAUUAUUCGGACUGCCGGCUGAAGGGGUUUCCUCAUCUGCCAGCGGAAAGUCUUGUUAACCCUAUCAACUAGAGGAAGCAGAAGUCGUAACA